CAGUAGCCGCGGUAAUACAGAGGUCCCGAGCGUUGUUCGGAUUCACUGGGCGUAAAGGGUGUGUAGGAGGUCGGGUAAGUCAGGUGUGAAAUCUCGCAGCUUAACUGUGAAACUGCGCUUGAUACUGCUCGGCUAGAGGAUCGGAGGGGGUAACGGAAUUUAUGGUGUAGCAGUGAAGUGCGUAGAGAUUAGGAGGAACACCAGUGGCGAAGGCGGCUUUUUGGCCUGUAACUGACACUGAGGCGUGAAAGCGUGGGGAGCAAACAGGAUUAGAGACCCCCGUAGUCCCUGUCUCUUAUAC
rnacentral:rRNA from 1 species